rnacentral:rRNA from 1 species
CCUACGGGAGGCAGCAGUGAGGAAUAUUGGACAAUGGUCGAAAGACUGAUCCAGCCAUGCCGCGUGCAGGAAGACGGCCCUAUGGGUUGUAAACUGCUUUUGUUUGGGAAGAAACCUUUCUACGUGUAGAAAGCUGACGGUACCAUACGAAUAAGCACCGGCUAACUCCGUGCCAGCAGCCGCGGUAAUACGGAGGGUGCAAGCGUUAUCCGGAUUUAUGGGUUUAAAGGGUCCGUAGGCGGACUUAUAAGUCAGUGGUGAAAUCCUGCAGCUCAACUGUAGAACUGCCAUUGAUACUGUAAGUCUUGAAUUCGGUUGAAGUGGGCGGAGUAUGGCAUGUAGCGGUGAAAUGCUUAGAUAUGCCAUAGAACACCGAUUGCGUAAGGC